rnacentral:rRNA from 1 species
UACGUAGGGUGCAAGCGUUAAUCGGAAUUACUGGGCGUAAAGCGUGCGCAGGCGGUUGUGUAAGACAGGUGUGAAAUCCCCGAGCUUAACUUGGGAAUUGCACUUGUGACUGCACAGCUAGAGUGCGGCAGAGGGGGAUGGAAUUCCGCGUGUAGCAGUGAAAUGCGUAGAUAUGCGGAGGAACACCGAUGGCGAAGGCAAUCCCCUGGGCCUGCACUGACGCUCAUGCACGAAAGCGUGGGGAGCAAACAGG